rnacentral:rRNA from 1 species
UACGGAAGGGGCUAGCGUUGCUCGGAAUCACUGGGCGUAAAGGGUGCGUAGGCGGGUCUUUUAAGUCAGGGGUGAAAUCCUGGAGCUCAACUCCAGAACUGCCUUUGAUACUGAAGAUCUUGAGUUCGGGAGAGGUGAGUGGAACUGCGAGUGUAGAGGUGAAAUUCGUAGAUAUUCGCAAGAACACCAGUGGCGAAGGCGGCUCACUGGCCCGAUACUGACGCUGAGGCACGAAAGCGUGGGGAGCAAACAGG